rnacentral:ncRNA from 1 species
CAUGCUGAAUUUAAGCAUAUUAGCAGAGGAAGACAAACCAACUAGGAUUUCUUCUGUAAUGGUGAGUGAACAGAGAAGAGCCCAAUACCGAAUCCCUGUCCAGCAGUGAGGCACAGGAAAUAUGGCAUACGGAAGACCCAUUCCCCAGCACUGCUCUUAGGAGGCUCAAGUCCUUUUGAUCAAAGCACAGUCCAUGGAUGUUGUGAGGCCAGUACUGACCCCUGGCAUGCCAGGACACACCAGGAUUAGGUCUUCUUGGAGUCAGGUUGCUUGGAAAUUCAGCCCAAAGGAGAUGCUAAAGUCCAUCUAGGGCUAAAUACCAGCAUGAGAUUGAUAUUCAAUAAGCACCAUAAGGGAAAGUUGAAAAGAACUUUGAAGAGAGAAUUCAAGAGGGAGUUAAAUAGUUAGGGUAUAAAUGGGUGGGGUCCACAUAGUCUGCCCAAAGGAUUCAACCCAGCCAGAUCUGUUAGCCCACAACGGACAACAUAACCCCCUUACCACACUUAAUAGCGGGUGGUAGAAGACUACUCCCUGGAUGGCCCUGACCCUCACUGGGCACACUUCCACUGUGGCAGUAUGCCAUAGCCAGUUCUGGGUCAGCUGGGAAGGCUCCACAGUGACUCCCAGAUCUCUUUCCUGUGUAAUAACACCUAAUAUAAUUUGGGUUAUUUUUGCUGUUUUAAUGGAGGAUGUCUGUACAUCAUUUUUUUUUUUUUAUCAUGGAGAAACUUCUGCACAUCAGCUUCCAUGUGGUUCUUGAUAGAACAGGA